GUGGGGAAUAUUGGACAAUGGGGGAAACCUUGAUCCAGCGACGCCGCGUGAGUGAAGAAGUAUUUCGGUAUGUAAAGCUCUAUCAGCAGGGAAGAAAAUGACGGUACCUGACUAAGAAGCCCCGGCUAACUACGUGCCAGCAGCCGCGGUAAUACGUAGGGGGCAAGCGUUAUCCGGAUUUACUGGGUGUAAAGGGAGCGUAGACGGCACUGCAAGUCUGGAGUGAAAGCCCGGGGCUCAACCCCGGGACUGCUUUGGAAACUGUGGUGCUGGAGUGCAGGAGAGGUAAGUGGAAUUCCUAGUGUAGCGGUGAAAUGCGUAGAUAUUAGGAGGAACACCAGUGGCGAAGGCGGCUUACUGGACUGUAACUGACGUUGAGGCUCGAAAGCGUGGGGAGCAAACAGGAUUAGAAACCCCAGUAGUCC
rnacentral:rRNA from 1 species